GGGCGCGUGACUCAGCGGUAGAGUGUCGCCUUCACACGGCGGAAGUCACAGGUUCGAAUCCUGUCGCGCCCACCA
rnacentral:tRNA from 1 species